rnacentral:rRNA from 1 species
UACGAAGGGGGCUAGCGUUGCUCGGAAUCACUGGGCGUAAAGGGUGCGUAGGCGGUUGUUUAAGUCUGUCGUGAAAUCCCCGGGCUCAACCUGGGAAUGGCGAUGGAUACUGGACAGCUAGAAUGUGUCAGAGGAUGGUGGAAUUCCCGGUGUAGCGGUGAAAUGCGUAGAGAUCGGGAGGAACAUCAGUGGCGAAGGCGGCCAUCUGGGACAACACUGACGCUGAAGCACGAAAGCGUGGGGAGCAAACAGG